rnacentral:rRNA from 1 species
UCUAAAGCUAAAUACUGGCCAGAGACCGAUAGCGCACAAGUAGAGUGAUCGAAAGAUGAAAAGCACUUUGGAAAGAGAGUCAAAUAGCACGUGAAAUUGUUGAAAGGGAAGCGCUUGCAGCCAGACUUGCCCGUUGUCGCUCAUCCAGGCUUUUGCCUGGAGCACUCGGCGGCGGGCAGGCCAGCAUCAGUUUGGGCGGCCGGAUAAAGACCUCUGUCAAGUAUCUUCCUUCGGGAUGACCUUAUAGGGGAGGUGUAACACGGCCAGUCCGGACUGAGGUCCGCGCAUCUGCUAGGAUGCUGGCGUAAUGGCUGUAAGCGGCCCGUCUUGAAACACGGACCAAGGAGUCUAACAUCUAUGCGAGUGUUUGGGUGUCAAGCCCGGGCGCGCAAUGAAAGUGAACGGAGGUGGGAACCCUCUUCGGGGGUGCACCAUCGACCGAUCCUGAAGUCUUCGGAUGGAUUUGAGUAAGAGCAUAGCUGUUGGGACCCGAAAGAUGGUGAACUAUGCUUGAAUAGGGUGAAGCCAGAGGAAACUCUGGUAGGGGCUCGCAGCGGUUCUGACGUGCAAAUCGAUCGUCAAAUUUGGGCAUAGGGGCGAAAGACUAAUCGAAC